rnacentral:rRNA from 1 species
UAGAGUUUGAUCCUGGCUCAGGAUGAACGCUAGCUACAGGCUUAACACAUGCAAGUCGAGGGGCAGCAUGGUCUUAGCUUGCUAAGGCCGAUGGCGACCGGCGCACGGGUGAGUAACACGUAUCCAACCUGCCGUCUACUCUUGGACAGCCUUCUGAAAGGAAGAUUAAUACAAGAUGGCAUCAUGAGUCCGCAUGUUCACAUGAUUAAAGGUAUUCCGGUAGACGAUGGGGAUGCGUUCCAUUAGAUAGUAGGCGGGGUAACGGCCCACCUAGUCUUCGAUGGAUAGGGGUUCUGAGAGGAAGGUCCCCCACAUUGGAACUGAGACACGGUCCAAACUCCUACGGGAGGCAGCAGUGAGGAAUAUUGGUCAAUGGGCGAGAGCCUGAACCAGCCAAGUAGCGUGAAGGAUGACUGCCCUAUGGGUUGUAAACUUCUUUUAUAAAGGAAUAAAGUCGGGUAUGGAUACCCGUUUGCAUGUACUUUAUGAAUAAGGAUCGGCUAACUCCGUGCCAGCAGCCGCGGUAAUACGGAGGAUCCGAGCGUUAUCCGGAUUUAUUGGGUUUAAAGGGAGCGUAGAUGGAUGUUUAAGUCAGUUGUGAAAGUUUGCGGCUCAACCGUAAAAUUGCAGUUGAUACUGGAUAUCUUGAGUGCAGUUGAGGCAGGCGGAAUUCGUGGUGUAGCGGUGAAAUGCUUAGAUAUCACGAAGAACUCCAAUUGCGAAGGCAGCCUGCUAAGCUGCAACUGACAUUGAGGCUCGAAAGUGUGGGUAUCAAACAGGAUUAGAUACCCUGGUAGUCCACACGGUAAACGAUGAAUACUCGCUGUUUGCGAUAUACUGCAAGCGGCCAAGCGAAAGCGUUAAGUAUUCCACCUGGGGAGUACGCCGGCAACGGUGAAACCCAAAGGAAUUGACGGGGGCCCGCACAAGCGGAGGAACAUGUGGUUUAAUUCGAUGAUACGCGAGGAACCUUACCCGGGCUUAAAUUGCAGAUGAAUUACGGUGAAAGCCGUAAGCCGCAAGGCAUCUGUGAAGGUGCUGCAUGGUUGUCGUCAGCUCGUGCCGUGAGGUGUCGGCUUAAGUGCCAUAACGAGCGCAACCCUUGUUGUCAGUUACUAACAGGUUCUGCUGAGGACUCUGACAAGACUGCCAUCGUAAGAUGUGAGGAAGGUGGGGAUGACGUCAAAUCAGCACGGCCCUUACGUCCGGGGCUACACACGUGUUACAAUGGGGGGUACAGAGGGCCGCUACCACGCGAGUGGAUGCCAAUCCCAAAAACCUCUCUCAGUUCGGACUGGAGUCUGCAACCCGACUCCACGAAGCUGGAUUCGCUAGUAAUCGCGCAUCAGCCACGGCGCGGUGAAUACGUUCCCGGGCCUUGUACACACCGCCCGUCAAGCCAUGGGAGCCGGGGGUACCUGAAGUGCGUAACCGCGAGGAGCGCCCUAGGGUAAAACUGGUGACUGGGGCUAAGUCGUAACAAGGUAGCCG